UAGCACGGGCCAAAGUUAUCCCGGAAUAAAGGCAGCACGCAUGUGCCGUAAACCCGGAUGUAAAAUUUUCUAAAGCACUAGCUGAUAAACAACAAAUGGGUUAGCUGGAACACGCUAUUUAUAUCUAUUCAGUGCUCCUUUAAAAUACACACAAUGUGGGUUAAGAAAAUGGUCCAGACUGGAGAUUAACUGCUGUGUGUAUAAUAAUAUUGAUGUUUAAUCAAACAGGUGCAAAAAAACCCAUAUUAGAAUGUUUUGUAUUUAAUCGUGUUUAUUAGACAGUGGGAAUUGAAAUGGAUUUUCCAACUAAAAAGUAUGAACGGGGGAGCAAUUGGUCCGAGCCCGAGGUGGUGGAGCUUCUGCAGCUCUGGUCGGAUGAAGAGGUCCAACUGGAGCUUGAGAGCUGCCUCCGCAACCAGCACGUCUUUAACCGCCUGGCCGUGGCGCUGCAUGACCGGGGCAUCUACCGCACCGCGGACCAGUGCCGGGAGAAGAUCAAGAAGCUGAAAAUCGAUUACCGGCGCAUGAAGGAGAACCAGCAGACGCCGCGGGGUGCGAGAGCGCGCAGGUUUUACGACGUGAUAGACCGCGUGCUGAGCAGCCGCCCCGCCGCUUCCUCCUCCUCUUCCUCAUACACUUCUCUGUGGGGGAAUGCUGGCGGCCACCACCAGGCGGGCCCGGGAUCCUCCAGCUCCGCCUUCACGUUCAGCUGUCCGCCCAAAGCGGGAGAGCUCAUGGAGAUAAAGCUCGAGGAGCUGAACGCGGACGAUGAGGAGGAGCUGCUGAGUGCUGAGGAGCCGCUGUGCUCGGAGGAAGAGGCAGAGGCGGACUGUAAGUCAGCUGGAGAGGACACAGAGGAACCCGGAGAGCGGAGAGGAGAGUGUGCUGCUCCCGCAUUCUGGUCUCCUUCAGGCUUUAGUGAUCAUAACGUGGCUGGAUCAUCAGGUGCUUGUGUUUCACCAGUGUCAGAUCCUGUGGCCAGUGUGGAUAGAUGCACCCAGGCAGACCUUAAAGAGCCUAAAUAUCCCAGCAGGUUCCGUCAGAGGAAGCGGCGAAGGGCAGUACGUGCAGGCGGUGGUGGAAGGUUGCUAGAGAAGGCUUUGGCAAGUUUCAUGAACUGGCAGCGAGUUAUGGAGGAGAGAUACGUGUCAUUGGAGGAAAUGAGGUUGCAUCAGGAGGCCCGGGCCGAGAGGCAGAGGGAGCAGCAGGAAGAGAGACGGGUUCAACAGGAAAGGGAGCAUGAGCUGCGUCUUGUUUCCUUACUCGCAGGGGCCUUCAGUGCAGCCAGUGGAGCAGCACAGCGAGGAAGCAGCAACACAGAAACAUCUGACCCCAGUGCAACAGUGUCAGAGCUGACAUUGCUCUCUGGGCCUCCUGCUUUUCCACCUGACCCUACCACCCUCCCCACUGUACCCAGAAUGCAACAGGAAGAUCACACUGUUUAUCAGGGAAGAAGCAAUUCCAGGCUCCUUGAGCCUUUCCAAUCCUCAUUUGUACCCAGAAUCCUAAAUGAGAAUCAGAAAGCUGAUGAGGGAAAGACCAAUACCACAACAAUGUCUAUCUGCAGUAUGACAACAUCUGAUCAAAAAACUCUCUCUGUGCCUCUCAGCUCUUCAGGUCCAGACCCAGGUCCUAGUCUUUCCACACUUCCUUACAUACCAAAAAAGUUACGGGGGGAUCAGACACCCCAGCACAGUCAUUUUUUGUCCCGCAGGGGUAACAGGAUCCGGCAGCACCAGGGAAUUCUGCAAGAAGGCUACGUUCAGUACUAUGCCAACAAGUAUGAUGAGAACAGUAACCCUGAAGGAAUUUUAAAUUUGGGAACAAGCGAGAACAAGCUAUGCUCUGACCUUCUGCAGAAACGUCUGAUACAGCCUGACAUGCACUAUAUAGAUUCCUGUUUGCUGCAGUACCCAGACUGGAAAGGCCAUCGCUUCUUAAGAGAAGAAGUAGCGACGUUCCUGUCAGUACAUUGUCAAGCUCCGAGGCCUCUGAAAGCCGACAAUGUGGUUGUAAUAAAUGGCUGUGGCUCGCUUUUUUCUGCUAUAGCUGCUGUGCUUUGCGAUCCUGGUGACGCAAUCCUCAUCCCAACCCCUUUUUAUGGUGUGAUCACAGAAGAUGUUGAUUUAUACAGCAGUGUGAAACUGUACUGUGUUCCUCUUGACAGUGAGCCUGGCCAAAAUGAUGACAGACCAUUUCACCUGACUGCUGAAAAACUGGAGCAUGCUCUCCAGAAAGCAAAGAAGGAGGGAGUGAAUAUAAGAGCUAUCAUCCUGGUAAACCCCCACAAUCCUUUAGGGGAAAUCUACACCAGUGAAGAGAUGCUCAGCUUUCUAAACUGUGCCAAGAGGCAUGAACUACAUGCUAUUGUGGACGAGGUCUACAUGCUGUCUGUGUUUGACGGCUCUUUUAACAGCGUCCUCAGUCUACAAAGGUUACCGGACCCUCAGAGGACUCAUGUGAUGUGGGGCGUUAGCAAGGACUUUGCAAUGGCUGGCGUUCGUGUGGGUACAGUAUACUCUGAGAACAGGGAUUUAAUUGAGGCCAUCGAUCAGCUGGGCUAUUUUCAUGGAGUACCAGGACCAACACAACACCAGGUGUCUCAGCUACUGAAAGAUGGAGAUUGGAUAAACAAGGUGUUUCUACCAGAGAACAGACGCCGGCUCCAGGAGGCCCACCAAUAUAUCUCCCAUCAGCUAAUGAAGUUGAGAAUUCCCUACCUGCAUAGGGGUGCAGGCUUCUUUAUCUGGGCUAACUUUAGCAAGUAUCUAAAGGAGCGUACCUUUGCAGAGGAGCUGCAUUUAUGGAGGUGUUUUCUGAAACACCGGGUGUUGUUGAGCUGUGGUCAGGCCUUUAACUGUUCUUCACCAGGGUGGUUCCGUAUCGUCUUCUCUGACCAGCACCAGCGCCUCCAACUUGGCCUAGAAAGGAUCAGAGAGACUUUAGAGGAACUUCAGUGUUCCAACAUCCUGACUGACUGUGAGAACACAAAAGCAGACAAACAAGACAAUGACAUAAGAGUGGAAGUACAGUGGGGUGGAAAGACCGAGGACCAAAACAACAAGGACGGUUCCAAAGAUGCAACAAUUGAGGCCUUUACUACAAUAACAAAAGGGCUUUUGGAAAGCAGUGAUGCUGGGGGCGAAAGCCUGUUAUUGGCUGUUGAGGACAUCCAGGGUAGCAACUACCAAACUAACUCGGAGAGUCUGGACUCAUUAAUCGGAGCACUGAGACAACAGAUCCACUCCUCUGAUUGGUUAGAGAAGAACCGGCCGAAACUGGCUGAUGAAGAAGAUCCGACACAAGCUGAGGUGUUUAAAGAUCUCUUGGACAGAGCCAGGAUGUAACAACUGUUAAAGACUGUGUUAUUCCCAAUCCGAAGCCUCUUCAGUAUUUAGGCUUGAGCUUUCACGAGGGUGACAUCUCUCGCUCUAGUAUUUGCUCUCUAGUCAUUUCACUACAACUCGUUUCACCUGAAGAAUGAAAGGACCGGAGUUAGUAGAUUCGACGAGUCGCUUUCGUUUUGCCGAGUCAUGCCUGGGUUUAAUGGGCUGCUUAUGCAUCAGUUAUGCUGUUUGGACCCCUGAAUGGAUGGACGGAAAGGGACUGUGGUCCACGGGAAACGAGUCCAAUUCACUUGGCAGCUGGACACAAGAGCAUGCAAUUCAAGGUCUAGGGCCUGACAGGGUGUUUGCUGCCCUUUCUUUCCUCAUGGCUGUAAGCUCGGGAAUUCUCUGUCUCCUGUUUGCAUUCUGUUGGACGUCAAAGACUGUGCUGUCUUACUCCAACACACGCUCGCUGCUGAUGGCAGGCCAGGCACUUUACCCCACCACCCUGCUGCUCAUCACACUGCUACCGACAGGAUUUUUCUUUCUCCUAAGCUGGGCGCUCUUCACCAGCAAUCAUAUUGCUGAGAUGCGAAAUGACCUGACCCGUAUGGGCUCCUCUUUUUGGCUGGGUGCUGUGGGCUGGGCUCUGCUGUUGGUUGUUCUCCCAGUGGUGUUCCUGGUGGAGCAGUGUAUCGUACCUGACAUACUCCCUGAGCUGAAGAAGAAGACUGGGCUCUUGUGGAGGGGAUUCGAGGUGCCACACAAACGAUCAUACAGUGAAAGCUACCAGCACAGGCCAGAACACUAUAACCAUGAGUACAGGAGAUACUUGUCUAUGCCCUGAGGGAGACAGCAGCAUCAGAUAUCAUUGCUGUUUAAAUAUCCUCGCUGUCCAGCCACUGAAAGCUUGAGUGUAUUUCCAGAACCAGGUAAAUAAGAAUCUUGUGUCCUUUGCACACAGAAAGCCGCCUAAGGGUUCACUCGGCUUAAAGAUACAUGGAUUAUUUUCCAGUCUGGAAGCUUAGAAGGCUGUGGCUGAGUUAUUGCACUUUACAGAGGAACUGUCUGAUGGAAUAGUCUAAAUAACACAAAGAUUUUGAUUCAGUUGGAAUCAGUCAUUACAAGUUUGUUUGUUUUUAGAGAAUUUACUUUCAAAUGUAAUUGUGUAUUUACGUUCAGUGAUUACUACAUUUUACAUACACUACAUUAGGAAACCCACCUAACACAUUGAGUAUGUGUAGAUUGAACCAUGGUAUGUGCUUAGUGUUUUAGCUGAAACCAAAAAACACACUUUUCUCACUGACCAUUUCCCACUGGUGAUAAAUCUAGUGUAGCAGAGACAGAAAACAUUGGUCUCUCAGGUCGAGAAUACAAGGCAGAUAAUGAUCCUGUUGCACCGAGUUACAGCAGAGACUUUACUUGGUUAGUUAGUGAGCUUUGAGAUGACGAGCACUGACUGCAGUAUUAUCAUGAACAUCCUUAUACUGUUUGUGGAAUGAAGGAGGAGCUAAAUCCCACCUUUACCACUCACUAGGAUGAGAAUCAACUGAAAAAUUUAAAGUCAACCCUGAGGUAAAUUGUUAAAUAAAAACAUAAAUAAUAUUGCUUAAUAUCAUGGUUGGGAAAUGCCAUACCAGUGCCAAAUUAUUUGUGGCUCUAGCCCCCUCACAUGGUUUGUCUUUGCUACAACACACAAAAUUUCUGGGGGAAUGGAAAUGUGAACUGUUGUACAGUGCAGUAAUCAACUGUUUUAUUCAUUAUUACGAUACCAUACGAUUUUAUUGGAAUUUAUUCUUCUUUAAUGGUAAUACAGUUUUUUUGUGAUUAUAUAAACACAAUAAAUAACAAAUAAAUAGACCCAGUUUGCCCUUGCUUUUAUUAAGCUUAAUUAUAGAAAAUGGUGUGUUUAAUUGUUGUUUUUUGGGGCGUUUCUUUUUUUUUUUUUGCAUUUAUUUUUCAGUCAUGUUUGAUGUACAUGCAGGGAUUUACAAGACGUUUGAAAAUUUUUUUGAGAAAUCUCUAUGUAUUUAUUACUUAUAUUUACUCAUACUGAGCUUAUUUAAACUGUAACUGGAUGUAUUUAUCUACUGAUAAUAAAAUGCAAAAGCAUUGAUGAGCUCAACAAUUCCCAGUGUAUGUGAGAUAUGAGUAAACAAGUUUUCUUGUGUGUUUUUUUCCAGUACAAAUUAAUGUGUUGAUGGUAUUCGCCCACACACUACAGGUGCAGCUGAUUAUG